GUCCGGUUGGUGUAAUGGCAACACACUCAGAUUCAUGAUGCGCUGUGCCUUUGUCCUUGGUUGGAUGAUUGCCAGUCAGAAGGAACCUCUUUGAGUAAUCUUGGUUCGAAUCCAGGACUGGACG